AUAAAGGAGCUUCCUGAGCAGAUUGAUACGUCUACAUACAUGCCUUCUUAGAGGAGGUUCACUUUGCGACAUGAAUUUAAUGUUUGAGGCCGAGACAAUUUGUUAUGGUGCAGAGGAUUUGAUUGUAUCAUGUUCUUCGGCCUUGUGUGUAGUACUUAUAUCGGACCAUAGAAGGCAGAUUUCUCUACUCGAUGGAUUUCAGUGGUUUUGAGUUAUUGUAGAAUGAGAACUCUUGAGGCCGUGCACAUGGGGAAUAGGGGGUAGACUUUACUAGAGUUUCUCAUGAAAUGCUAGCCUUGAUUUACUUUUAUAACUAAUUCAUAUUUGCAGGUUAUGUGGCCAAAUAGCUGAGUUGUGCGUUAGUCAACGGAAUUUGGAAAUCUAUAUAUUUUUAAUGUCUAAUCACUU
rnacentral:misc_RNA from 1 species